rnacentral:rRNA from 1 species
AGAGUUUGAUCAUGGCUCAGGAUGAACGCUAGCGGCAGGCCUAAUACAUGCAAGCCGAACGGUAAUUCUGGUAGCAAUACUGGAACUAGAGUGGCGUAAGGGUGCGUAACACGUAUGCAAUCUACCCGCAACAGGAGGAUAGCUCCCCGAAAGGGGAAUUAACCCUCCAUGAGAUCACGGGGCGGCAUCGCCGAGUGAUUAAAUCUGAGGAGGUUGUGGAUGAGCAUGCGACUGAUUAGCUAGUUGGCAGUGUAACGGACUACCAAGGCAAUGAUCAGUAGGGGAACUGAGAGGUUGAUCCCCCACACUGGCACUGAGAUACGGGCCAGACUCCUACGGGAGGCAGCAGUAGGGAAUAUUGGUCAAUGGGUGAGAGCCUGAACCAGCCAUGCCGCGUGCAGGAAGAAGGCCUUCUGGGUUGUAAACUGCUUUUGCCGGGGGAUAAAAGACCCUUGCGAGGGAAAUUGAAGGUACCUGGUGAAUAAGCCACGGCUAACUACGUGCCAGCAGCCGCGGUAAUACGUAGGUGGCAAGCGUUGUCCGGAUUUAUUGGGUUUAAAGGGUGCGUAGGCGGUUGAUUAAGUCAGUUGUGAAAUACGGCAGCUUAACUGUCGAGGUGCAAUUGAUACUGGUUGACUUGAGUACAGACGAGGUAGGCGGAAUUGACGGUGUAGCGGUGAAAUGCAUAGAUAUCGUCAAGAACACCGAUAGCGAAGGCAGCUUACUAGACUGUAACUGACGCUGAGGCACGAAAGUGUGGGGAUCAAACAGGAUUAGAUACCCUAGUAGUCC